rnacentral:rRNA from 1 species
UACGAAGGGGGCUAGCGUUGUUCGGAUUUACUGGGCGUAAAGCGCACGUAGGCGGAUCGUUAAGUCGGGGGUGAAAUCCUGGAGCUCAACUCCAGAACUGCCUUCGAUACUGGCGAUCUUGAGUCCGGAAGAGGUGAGUGGAACUCCUAGUGUAGAGGUGGAAUUCGUAGAUAUUGGGAAGAACACCAGUGGCGAAGGCGGCUCACUGGUCCGAUACUGACGCUGAGGUGCGAAAGCGUGGGGAGCAAACAGG